rnacentral:rRNA from 1 species
UACGUAGGGACCAAGCGUUGUUCGGAUUUACUGGGCGUAAAGGGCGCGUAGGCGGCUUGACAAGUCACUUGUGAAAUCUCCGGGCUUAACUCGGAACGGCCAAGUGAAACUGUCAUGCUAGAGUGCAGAAGGGGCAAUCGGAAUUCUUGGUGUAGCGGUGAAAUGCGUAGAUAUCUGGAGGAACACCGGUGGCGAAGGCGGCGUUCUGGACUGCAGCUGACACUGAGAGACGAAAGCCAGGGGAGCAAACGGG